rnacentral:tRNA from 1 species
GGCCGGAUGGUGAAACGGGAACACUCUUGUCUGCAAAACAAGCAUGAGCGGGUUCGACUCCCGCUCCGGCCU